UACGGAGGGUGCAAGCGUUAUCCGGAUUUAUUGGGUUUAAAGGGUCCGUAGGCGGAUCUGUAAGUCAGUGGUGAAAUCUCACAGCUUAACUGUGAAACUGCCAUUGAUACUGCAGGUCUUGAGUAAGGUAGAAGUGGCUGGAAUAAGUAGUGUAGCGGUGAAAUGCAUAGAUAUUACUUAGAACACCAAUUGCGAAGGCAGGUCACUAUGUCUUAACUGACGCUGAUGGGCGAAAGCGUGGGGAGCGAACAGG
rnacentral:rRNA from 1 species